GGAUUGUGGCUCAGUGGUAGAGUGCUCGCCUAGCAUGUGUGAGGCCCUGGGUUUGAUCCUCAGCACCA
rnacentral:tRNA from 1 species